GAAAGAGAGCCAGGCCCUUGAGGGGGAGGGGGCUGCCAAGAUGGCGUCGGCCUCCUCCGGGCCGUUGUCUUCGGUCGGUUUUUCUCCGUUGAUCCCGCGGUCCCUUCCUGUACCUCGUCCUCAGCAUCUGGAAUCAAGAGUCCCAUGGCAUCUGAGGUGCCUUAUGCCUCUGGCAUGCCCAUCAAGAAAAUAGGCCAUAGAAGUGUUGAUUCCUCAGGAGGGACAACCUCAUCAGCCUUGAAAGGUGCCAUCCAGUUAGGCAUUACCCACACUGUGGGGAGCCUGAGUACCAAACCAGAGAGUGAUGUCCUCAUGCAAGAUUUCCACAUGGUGGAGAGUAUCUUCUUUCCCAGUGAAGGGAGCAACCUGACCCCUGCUCAUCACUACAAUGCCUUUCGUUUCAAGACCUAUGCACCUGUUGCCUUCCGCUACUUCUGGGAGCUAUUUGGUAUCCGGCCCGAUGAUUACUUGUAUUCCCUCUGCAGUGAGCCGCUGAUUGAACUCUGUAGCUCUGGAGCUAGUGGUUCCCUGUUCUAUGUGUCCAGCGACGAUGAGUUCAUUGUUAAGACAGUCCGACAUAAAGAAGCGGAGUUUCUGCAGAAGCUGCUUCCAGGAUACUACAUAAACCUCAACCAGAACCCUCGGACUUUGCUGCCUAAAUUCUAUGGACUGUACUGUGUGCAGACAGGUGGCAAGAACAUUCGGAUUGUGGUGAUGAACAAUCUUUUACCAAGAUCGGUAAAAAUGCAUAUCAAAUAUGACCUCAAAGGCUCAACCUACAGGCGGCGGGCUUCCCAGAAAGAGCGAGAGAAGCCUCUUCCCACAUUUAAAGACCUAGACUUCUUACAAGACAUCCCUGAUGGUCUUUUUUUGGAUGCUGACGUGCACAACGCUCUCUGUAAGACCCUGCAGCGUGACUGUUUGGUGCUGCAGAGCUUCAAGAUAAUGGAUUAUAGCCUCUUGAUGUCAAUCCAUAAUAUAGAUCAUGCACAACGAGAGCCCUUAAGCAGCGAAACACAAUACUCAGUUGAUACUCGAAGACCAGCCCCCCAAAAGGCUCUGUAUUCCACAGCCAUGGAAUCCAUCCAGGGAGAGGCUCGACGGGGUGGCACCAUGGAGACCGAUGACCAUAUGGGUGGCAUCCCUGCCCGGAAUAGUAAAGGGGAAAGGCUUCUGCUUUAUAUUGGCAUCAUUGACAUUCUACAGUCUUACAGGUUUGUUAAGAAGUUGGAGCACUCUUGGAAAGCCCUGAUACAUGACGGAGACACUGUCUCAGUGCAUCGCCCAGGCUUCUAUGCUGAAUGGUUCCAGCGCUUCAUGUGCAACACGGUAUUUAAGAAGAUUCCCUUGAAGCCUUCUCCUUCCAAAAAACUUCGGUCUGGCUCAUCUUUCUCUCAGCGAGCAGGCUCCAGUGGCAACUCCUGCAUUACUUACCAGCCAUUGGUCUCUGGGGAACACAAGGCACAAGUGACAACAAAGGCGGAAGUGGAGCCAGGUGUUCACCUUGGUUGUCCUGAUGUUUUACCUCAGACUCCACCUUUGGAGGAAAUCAGUGAGGGCUCACCUACUCCUGACCCCAGUUUCUCACCUCUAGUUGAAGAGACUUUGCAAAUGCUAACUACAAGUGUGGACAACAGUGAGUAUAUGGGGAAUGGAGACUUCUUACCCACCCGGCUGCAGGCCCAGCAGGAUGCUGUCAACACAGUUUGUCAUUCAAAGACCCGCAGCAACCCUGAGAACAACGUGGGCCUUAUCACACUGGAUAAUGACUGUGAAGUGCUGACCACACUCACCCCAGACACUGGCCGUAUCCUGUCCAAGCUACAUACUGUCCAACCCAAGGGCAAGAUCACCUUCUGCAUGGGCAUCCACGUGGCCCAUCUGGCUCUGAAGCACCGACAAGGCAACAAUCACAAGAUCCGCAUCAUUGCCUUUGUGGGAAACCCGGUGGAGGACAAUGAGAAGAAUCUGGUGAAACUGGCUAAAUGCCUCAAGAAGGAGAAAGUAAAUGUUGACAUUAUCAAUUUUGGGGAAGAGGAGGUGAACACAGAAAAGCUGACAGCCUUUGUAAACACGUUGAAUGGCAAAGAUGGAACCGGUUCUCAUCUGGUGACAGUGCCUCCUGGGCCCAGUUUGGCUGAUGCUCUCAUCAGUUUUCCGAUUUUGGCUGGUGAAGGUGGUGCCAUGAUGGGUCUUGGUGCCAGUGACUUUGAAUUUGGAGUAGAUCCCAGUGCUGAUCCUGAGCUGGCCUUGGUCCUUCGUGUAUUUAUGGAAGAGCAGCGGCAGCGGCAGGAGGAGGAGGCCCGGCAGGCAGCUGCAGCUUCUGCUGCUGAGGCCGGGAUUGCUACGACUGGGACUGAAGACUCAGACGAUGCCCUGCUGAAGAUGACCAUCAGCCAGCAAGAGUUUGGCCACACUGGGCUUCCUGACCUAAGCAGUAUGACUGAGGAAGAGAAGAUUGUUUGUGCCAUGCAGAUGUCCCUGCAGGGAGCAGAGUUUGGCCUGGCAGAAUCAGCAGACAUUGAUGCCAGCUCAGCCAUGGACACAUCUGAGCCAGCCAAGGAGGAGGAUGAUUACGACGUGAUGCAAGACCCUGAGUUCCUUCAGAGUGUCCUAGAGAACCUCCCAGGUGUGGAUCCCAACAAUGAAGCCAUUCGAAAUGCUGUGGGCUCCCUGGCCUCCCAGGCCACCAAGGACAGCAAGAAGGACAAGAAGGAGGAAGACAAGAAGUGAGACUGGAGGGAAAGGGUAGCUGAGCCUGCUCAGGGGACUGCAUGGGAAGCACGGAAUAUAGGGUUAGAUGUGUGUUAUCUGUAAUCAUUAUAGCCUAAAUAAAGCUUGGCAAGAUUUUUUCCUUCUUUGCUUCAAAAAAAAAAGAAAGAAAGAAAGAAAGAAAGAAAGAAAGAAAGAAAGAAAGAAAGAAAGAAAGAAAGAAAAGAAAAGAAAAGAAAAGAAAUCCUGAUGCCUAAAUCUGACCCCUUGAAAUGCUGAUGAGCUUCAUCUGAGCUGUGUGAUCUCUCAUGUGCAGCUAAGGUUGAGAACCACUAACAUAAAAUAAUUCACAUUAAAAUCACCAGGAAGCUUUAAUAACAUUUCAAAUACUUGGACCCAACCCCUAAAGAUUCUAAUUUAAUUGGCCUGGGACUCAGGUACUGAUAUUUUUCAAAAGCUCACAAGGUAAUUCUGAAAUUCAGCAAAAGUUGAGAACCACUAUUCAGACUAAGUGACUUGUCCAAUGUCUCUGGGUGCAUCAGACUUUACGGCCUUCCUUACACAGGGGUUGUGAAUGAAAUAUGGCUAUGGAAAGCAAUUGUUGAGUAAUAUGUUAUAAAGUAUGGUGGUGAUGAUGA
ensembl:lncRNA novel transcript